rnacentral:hammerhead_ribozyme from 1 species
AUCCAAUUGACAAGUCCCAAAAUAGGACGAAACGUGUGUCAAACUGGAU